CACACGGCACAGCAGCAAGAUGAGGAAUGGGAGAAACAAGGAUUCCAGCUGAAGGAAAAUGGAAGUCCAAAACCUCUCUCUGUAAAAGAACUGACAAGACAAAAAAAUAUAAUUUGAAGAAAUCAUCGGCAUGGGAAUACUUCCACAGCUUGUACUCUAUCUGUUCUACAGAGAAAGUUUCUUCCAUUCAGCUCCUGUUGUUCCUGUUGGAGGUGUAGUUGUCAUCUACUGGAGUGGGUUUAUGUGUUAUUUUCAGUCAUUCUGAUUGGAGAAUGAAGUUUGGUUGUACACUUAAAAUCUGGUCCAGUUGGGCACCUUCACUCAUUGGCUCCCUCACCAGCUGUGUCAGGAACUUCCUGGACUAACUCCUCUCCACUGUUUUGUAUUCUAGCAGACAACUGGUAAGUUGAAGUCCACCACAAGAACAAGGGCUAGUGACUGUAAUUUCAGGAAUGUGAAUCCCUCUUCAAUUAACAGAAAGUAGUAAGUACCGAAGAAAUGAGAUUCAGCUCUCAAUAGUUUCCCAAACUAUUACCUCUGUAUGAAUAGACUUCAGGACAAGUAAUACUGGUGACCCCUAUUCCCACUGGAUAAUUGCUUUUAUUAUACAUUGCCUGUUUCUGUUCUUGUCUUUUAGUGCUGAUGGAUGUGAUUUUGUUUUACACUAUAUAGGUGUUUAGUGAAAUUGCUGCAAGACAGUUUAUUGCUGAGUUUAAAAAAUUGUGUCAACUCUUGAAUCUCAAUGAGUGUCUUAUCCUGCCUUUUUAAUUUUUAUUUUUCCCAGUACAUUAAAUAUUUUUCACUGUGACUAGGGAAAAUUAGAAAGUGCAAAAUCCUUUUUGCAUGUAGCUUAAAACACAAACAUAUAAAAUUCUACCAUAAUAAAUUGACAUACUAUAUCUGUAUCUGAUAAAUUAGGCUACAUGAUGGCAGGUAAAAUGAUGUGUAGAGUAUUGCAUGUGGAAAGGGCAAACUGAAGAUGUGUGGAACUUCUGUGUGGAGAAGACCAGUCAACAAGAGAAAUGGAUGUCAGCGAGGAGAAAUCAAUUAAAUGUCUGCUUUAUGCAAAAUAUCAAUACAGACAGGAUAUUCAACUGCAUUAAGAAAAGUAUCUACAGAUACAUUUACAAAUAGAAAACAGAAUUGAAAAAUAGCAGGUGACUAGUGAAGGGAAAACAAAUAGCAUGGAAAAACCCUGAACUAAAAAGAAAUGUAAACAUGGGAUUAAGCAGAGCAGGAGAUAUUAGAAUAGAGUUAUAUAAAAUAAUGAAUG